GCGGACGGGUGAGUAAUACUUGGGAACUUGCCUCUAGGCGGGGGACAACCACUGGAAACGGUGGCUAAUACCGCAUAAUGUCUACGGACCAAAGUGGGGGACCUUCGGGCCUCACACCUAGAGAUGGGCCCAAGCGGGAUUAGCUAGUUGGUGAGGUAACGGCUCACCAAGGCGACGAUCCCUAGCUGUUCUGAGAGGAUGAUCAGCCACACUGGGACUGAGACACGGCCCAGACUCCUACGGGAGGCAGCAGUG
rnacentral:rRNA from 1 species